rnacentral:rRNA from 1 species
AGACCUCUCAUCAGAAAAGACUACCCGCUGAGUUUAAGCAUAUCACUAAGCGGAGGAGAAGAAACUAACCAGGAUUCCCUAGUAACGGCGAGCGAACCGGAAAGAGCCAGC